GCAUUCCUGGUGUAAUCGGCAACAUCACGGGCUCCAAACUCGUCGGAUCUGGGUUCGAAUCCUGGGGGAUGCGCCA
rnacentral:tRNA from 1 species